GACGAACGCUGGCGGCGUGCUUAACACAUGCAAGUCGAACGGAAAGGCGCUGCGUUUGUUGGGUGCUCGAGUGGCGAACGGGUGUGUAACACGUGAGUAACAUGUACUUGACUGUGGGGUAAAUUCAGGGAACUGGGGCUAAUACCGGAUAGGAGCUCCUGCUGCGUGGUGGGGGUUGGAAAGUUUCGGCGGUUGGGGAUGGACUCGCGGCUUAUCAGCUUGUUGGUGGGGUAGUGGCUUACCAAGGCUUUGACGGGUAGCCGGCCUGAGAGGGUGACCAGCCACCUUGGGACUGCGAUACGGCCCAGUCUCCUACGGUAGGCAGCAGUGGGGAAUCUUGCACAAUGGCCGGAAGCCUGAUACAGCAACGCCGCGUGCGGGAUGACGGCCUUCGAGUUGUAAACCGCUUUCGCCUGUGACGAAGCCUGAUUGACGGUAACUGGUAAAGAAGCACCGGCUAACUACGUG
rnacentral:rRNA from 1 species